rnacentral:lncRNA from 1 species
CAAUGUUAACAACUGUGUGGGGUAAUCUAGAGAAAUAGCACCAUAGAGAAAAUAGUUGCCUCCUAUGAAGGACUCCUGUAUCUGGAAACUUUUCUGGCCCUGUUGCUGAUCCUCCAAGAGCAAUAUUUCUCCCUGCCUAAGCUUCAAGUGUGUUGUAUUUUUUACCAGGGGAUUAUCACUGUGAUCAAGUUCAACAAUCUCUCCAUGUUGGUAGCCAUCCUGUUGAUAAGGUAUUUUGGCAUUUUCAUUCUCAGCUAGGCGGCAUUCUAUUCUACGCUUCUGAAGACGAAGGCUAUGAGCUGAGGCCAAUGAGGAUAUUGACUUUCUUGGUGGUCCAUUACACUGGACAAUGGAAUAGAAAGUAGCUAACAAUACUUGAAGAGUCCCCA